GUGGAGACUAAGAAAGUAGAGUCCUGGAAGUGGAGCCAACUCAGCUUUCAGCCCCCUCAAUAAAAAGGUAGAUAGGGCAGGUCUUGUUUACAAAAUUCAUUCAAGACCUGCUUACUGCCAACAGCA